rnacentral:rRNA from 1 species
CCUACGGGAGGCAGCAGUGAGGAAUAUUGGUCAAUGGGCGCAAGCCUGAACCAGCCAUCCCGCGUGAAGGAAGAAGGCGCUAUGCGUUGUAAACUUCUUUUCCAGGGGGAGAAUUUUUCCGUCGUGACAGGAAUUGACGGUACUCUGGGAAUAAGCAUCGGCUAACUCCGUGCCAGCAGCCGCGGUAAUA